AAAAACCGGAAGCGCGCGCACAGCGCGGCCCUCGUGGCACUUCCGCCGGCCGUUCUAUCCGGAGCCGCCUCUAUGGCCGCCGCGUUUUGCGAUGUUUAUUGUCGCGGGGACAGGGCCCGGGACCCGGAACAACAAAGAGCGAGAGCGACGGGGCGCGUAGCAACCGGGCCGCGCGCGGCGGAGCCGGGGACACUCAACCGCCGGCCCACGCGAAUGUGAUCUUCUUCAUGAUAUGCUGGUGGGGAAUCUGAGUUUUCAACCACCCCAAUGGAUGCAGACGGUGAUGUUGCAUUGGACAUUUUAAUCACAAAUGUAGUAUGUGUUUUUAGAACAAGAUGUCAUUUAAACUUGAGGAAGAUUGCAUUAGAGGGAGCAAAUGUAAUCUACAAGCGUGAUGUUGGGAAAGUAUUAAUGAAGCUUAGGAAACCUAGGAUUACGGCCACGAUUUGGUCCUCAGGAAAAGUUAUUUGCACAGGAGCCACAAGUGAAGAAGAAGCUAAAUUUGGUGCCAGACGAUUAGCUCGUACUUUGCAGAAACUAGGUUUUCAGGUAAUUUUCACAGAUUUUAAGGUUGUCAAUGUUUUAGCAGUAUGCAACAUGCCCUUUGAAAUCAGAUUGCCAGAAUUUACGAAGAAUAAUAGACCUCAUGCUAGUUAUGAACCAGAGCUUCAUCCUGCAGUGUGCUACAGAAUAAAACCUCUCAGAGCUACCUUACAGAUUUUUUCAACAGGAAGUAUCACAGUAACGGGUACUUUAUGAUGCCAAAAUAAAUAUUUAACUUACUUUUUUUCAUGGGAAUUCAGUUAGACUUUCAAAGCAACAGAGAGACAGGCAUGUGAGAUUUCAUUUGUACUUAAUGCUGCCAGAUAAUUUGUCUUUCAGUGAAAAUACUUGAAUAACUGUGGGAGAAUGCAACAAAAUACCUUUGUUUUAUACACGUGGACGUAGUCAGUUUCUGGGGAGAUGAGGCAUAUGAGGAAACUGAGCUAAAUACCAGAGACUGAGAAUAUUUGCUUGUUUAAUUACAAAUUGUAAAACUUUAACCUUCCUUCUCAUUUUUCUUCUGUUCAGUCCCAUAAACUACUGCUGUUUAAGCAAUAGUUACUAUCGCAGGCAUGCACCUUGAGACGAGAGAGGCACAGCCAGUAUAACAUGGCAACAUCAUCCUUUGACCAACAACUAGGAGGUGUUAGAGAUUGCCCUAUUUCAGGUUUUAGUUCUAGUCUGUCAAAUGCUUGGGUAAACUUCCUCUUGCCCCUUUUGGAUGGAAAAAUUACACACAACCUUGGCUGGAAACUUAAAAUGAAACAAACAAUUAAAACAGUUGUGGGGAAACCUCUUCCUAGAUACCAGACAUCUAAUGGAUUUCCUCAGUGAUUGGAACUUUUUUGUUGACUUUGGUCCUGAAAUAAAAUAAAUGUAUAUGUAUGUAUAUGUGUAUUUACAUAUAUCUUUUCUUGGAGGCUUUGUGCCACCUUUCCCACUCCCCUUUAUUCCUACUCAGCAUCCUCUGCCCCGUAUCUCAAGAAGGACUUUACCAUGUUUCCCAGAUAAGCACAAACAUCAGCUGAGAGCAAAUACACCACCUGCUAAAAUGGGGAAAAACAUGAAUAAAAAAGAUUCAAAAACUGUGGGAAAUUAAAAUAGAACUCCAACACACAUGAUCUGGAAUUAGCCCAUGCUAAAUUUCUGUUGAUUGGAAAUGACAGACAAGAUCAUGCUUAGGGACACUUGUAUUCGGGACGGGGGGAGGAUAUGGGAUCCUUACAAAUACCUAACAUUUUAUACAAUACAUUUUUUUAACUGCAAUAAUUAUAGCUAAAACCCACAAACAUCCAAAAUGGAAACCUACCAAAAAUGUAAAUGUUCCUGAAAGCUAAUUUGAACUAGUGGCAGCCAAAGAUAGAAGAAAAAUUACUUUUCAAAUAAAUGAGAAGCUUGAAUGUUCCCCAGAAAUGCAGCCAACUUAUUGAACUGUGAUUUAACUAUUUAUAUUUUGUAACUAAAAAUCUCUAUUAAAAUUCAGGAGAAAUACUUUUUUUUAAAAAAUGACGUGUGUGGGGAGAGUUACAGGCUUGAUGAAGAGAGAAAAAGAAAUGAGGAAGCUGAUGGCAGUGUCAUCAACUCCAGCUUUCCUUCCCCUAAAAUGCGUGUUAGGUUUCCUCAACUUCUGUGUCUCUCUCUCUCUCUCUCUCCCUGUGCUAACCUCCACAAUCCUCUGUCUUGCUGUGGAGGUUCCCCUCCAGGUCUUCAACCUUGGGAGAAUCACUACUAUCCUUGCAAGACCCAUGUACCUACUCAUGCUCUUUCUGCUUUCCACAGCCUGCUGGAUGUUACUGGGCGUUGCUCUCUAGAACUUAUCAUUUCUGUGGUAGCAGACAAAUUGGAGGGAGGUGCAGUGCAUUCAGUAGUGCCUGCCUGGAAAGCAGAGCAUGUUGACUGAUAGGCCUCGUAUAAUCCUCACAAGAUUUGAAAAUAUGAGAAGGAUCCUCUUCCUGGUCCAUUUUCUUAUUUUCAUAAAUGUACAAAAAAGCACUAAAAUUAUGUUUCCUGAAAUUUGCAUAUAAAUAGAAUAUACAAUGAUUUGUGAUCUCUUUAAAGAUCACUACAUUAGGAAGAAACUUCUGAAGUCCUCUUCUCCUUCCUGGUGGAAACCAUUAGUUCAUUAAGUCUGGUAUCCUGUCUCUGACAGUGGUCAAUAGCUGGUGCUUUACAAGAAGGCAGAAAGCCCUCCCCAAAUUCACACAACCAAACUGGCAGUGUUAUCCAUGAGGCAGAGAGGGACCACAGCAGUAAUCAGUGUAUGCCAUGAAACAUGUGACUUGGUUACCCUUGUCCUAGUUUUCAUUUAUACAAAUUUUGUAAAUGGUUUUUAAAUUAUGCAGGCCAUUAAAAAUCCAAUUGUGAUAUUUGAUACUGACUUUGAGAGGCAGUGAAUUAUAUAAAUUGUCUGAAAUAUUAUUGUACUUAUCUUUAUUUUGCCUAAAAAUACUGGCUUUUUUCAUUGGGUGACCCAGAAGGCUUUAUGGGUUGCAAAAUUUUGAAUAAAUUAAUGAAUUCCUUUCUAACUCUUUUCUCUUCUGGGGUACGUAAUCCUAGUUUUUCCAUCUACAUGAUCCAAAAUACCUUUAGGAAGGGAUAAAGGGCAGGCAUCAUCUUAACUGAGAAAGUCCACAGACACAGUCUCAGGUCACCAAAAGUUGGCAGUACUAUAAAUGGGGGCAUGCUAGCAUUUGAUACAAUUUUAGUUGUAUUUUCUGCAUUUUCUACACUUUUUAAAAACACUGCUGCAAAUUAGGCAGACCCUUUUUACUGAGCCUCCAAAGUAGUUUUCCUCAGAGGAAAUCACAAGUUCACACACUAUCAGUAUGGAUGAAAAGUUGACUAUUUUGGUCAAUACAUCACUAUACUCCAAGAUUAAUUUUGUCAUUCUGCUCAGUCAUUUCAACCUUCAUAAUUUGUUACACAGUGACUUAGUGCCACCAGCAGACACCACCGACUCACUCUCCAUUUCUGUCUCCAAAGCAAAAGUAAAUUAGUUUAGAUCAGUGGUUCUUAACCUUUACUGCAGCCUGCAUGCCUUUGGUUCUCAAAAUAUGUUCUCGCACCCCUUAUAAAAAAUCGUUGAAGUAGGUCAGUUCUUUAAACCUAGAUAUAUUUUUGUUUGUAUAUUACAAUAAUUGUUAAAAAAUGUAUAAUGUUAAUAAACACAUAGGUUUGAUGAAACAAAGUAGUUGUACUUAUGUGCCUGUGCUUAAUUUGUGUUUUCGAUGAUUUACCUUCUAAAAAAAUCUGGCAUGUCUCGCACCCCCAGGGGGUGCGUGCACCCGAAGUUAAGAACCACUGGUUUAGAUGAUAAUUUGAGGAUUCUUCACGUUUGAGGAGAUAACUGUUAGCCCAAAAUCUGGUUGUGUCCUGAGAUUGAUGGCAGAGGUAUUAAAUAAGCCAAACUACAAAGUUACAGACCCAUCAAGUUUUUGUUAUACUGAACUAUCGAAUAACUAUGAGACAGAAGUUAAAAUCCAUCACUUACAAAUAGUUUCCUUGGUUAGCUCAAUGAAAUGAGAAAUUGAAGUGGCCAUCCUUUGCUGUGGGUAUACAGGUUCUGAGGACAGUAGCAAAUCAGAAAGCAAAUGGUAUGCUUUCUAACCCCAUUCUUGCUGGGAUUCUUCUAUUCCAGUGUACUAGACAGUAUAUAAUUUCUUAUGAGAUAAAAGUGACAGAUGUAGAGUUAUUAUUUUCUAAUCUAGUCGACAACCAGUUCAAAUGUCAUUACGGGCACUAGAAGUUGCAUAUUAUUUUCUUCCUCUAAGUACUUAGUAGCUUUCUUGAAUAUGAAAAAAGUUGUGUCUACAGUAUAAAGUUGUGCUAGCUAAUAUACUCUGAAUGGUUUUUGAGGUACUGUUACAUUCUUGCUUUUUUAAUGCCCUGACUUUUUCUCCCUCUUCUCUCUAUUUUUUUUAAACGUCUCAGGGCCAAACGUAAAGGCUGUUGCCAGUGCUGUGGAACAGAUUUAUCCAUUCGUGUUUGAAAGCAGGAAAGAAAUUUUAUAAUUCACCACUUAAUGGUUAGGUUCCCUAACCAAGCACCUUUAAAGACUGCUGCACAUUGGACUAAAAGCAAAAAAUGGAAAACUGGACCAACAAUAGCUGAGGAAAUACAGACUCUUUUACUUGUUCAUGGCCACAGUGUAAACUCCAGUCCCUUUGGAUUUUAUUUUGAACAGUGCUGUAUUGUAAAAACGAAAGUUUACAAGAUAUGAAAUUGCUGCUUUUAAAAAGACGUUCUAUUUAUUUUUGCAGUAAUUUCUGUGUAUUCAUAAGCAAACCUGUCACGAUGUGCACUACCUUUCAAACAUUUUUUUAGUUUGAGCUUGUGUUUUAUUUUGUGAAUAGUCUUUUACAUUUUUGUAUGCUGAAUAUUGGGCACCAAAGAAGCUGUAAAAGUUAUCUUUUUCACUUGAUGAAUGUGCACAAAUAAAAAUUUGGAAAAUAUCUCUC